rnacentral:rRNA from 1 species
GACGAACGCUGGCGGCGUGCCUAACACAUGCAAGUCGAGCGGAGCCAUCCAAACAAUCCCUUCGGGGUGCGUUUGGGGAAGCUUAGCGGCGGACGGGUGAGUAACGCGUGAGUAACCUGCCCAUUAGUGGGGAAUAACACAGAGAAAUUUGUGCUAAUACCGCAUACUGAAUAUUUAAGGCAUCUUGAAUAUUUGAAAGAUUUAUCGCUAAUGGAUGGACUCGCGUCUGAUUAGAUAGUUGGUGAGGUAACGGCUCACCAAGUCGACGAUCAGUAGCCGAACUGAGAGGUUGAUCGGCCACAUUGGGACUGAGACACGGCCCAG